rnacentral:rRNA from 1 species
AGUGAACGCUGGCGGUAGGCCUAACACAUGCAAGUCGAACGGCAGCACAGUAAGAGCUUGCUCUUACGGGUGGCGAGUGGCGGACGGGUGAGGAAUACAUCGGAAUCUACUUUUUCGUGGGGGAUAACGUAGGGAAACUUACGCUAAUACCGCAUACGACCUACGGGUGAAAGCAGGGGAUCUUCGGACCUUGCGCGAUUGAAUGAGCCGAUGUCGGAUAGCGAGUUGGCGGGGUAAAGGCCCACCAAGGCGACGAUCCGUAGCUGGUCUGAGAGGAUGAUCAGCCACACUGGAACUGAGACACGGUCCAGACUCCUACGGGAGGCAGCAGUGGGGAAUAUUGGACAAUGGGCGCAAGCCUGAUCCAGCCAUACCGCGUGGGUGAAGAAGGCCUUCGGGUUGUAAAGCCCUUUUGUUGGGAAAGAAAAGCAGCAGGUUAAUACCCCGCUGUUCUGACGGUACCCAAAGAAUAAGCACCGGCUAACUUCGUG